rnacentral:misc_RNA from 1 species
UCCGGUUUGUCACCGGCAGUCUCCUUAGAGUGCCCAACUGAAUGCUGGCAACUAAGGACAAGGGUUGCGCUCGUUGCGGGACUUAACCCAACAUCUCACGACACGAGCUGACGACAACCAUGCAGCACCUGUGCACGGGCUCCGAAGAGGGCCGGCCGUUUCUGACCGGUUUCCCGUGUAUGUCAAGCCUAGGUAAGGUUCUUCGCGUUGCGUCGAAUUAAACCACAUGCUCCACCGCUUGUGCGGGCCCCCGUCAAUUCCUUUGAGUUUCAGCCUUGCGGCCGUACUCCCCAGGCGGGGCACUUAAUGCGUUAGCGCCGGCACUCGGAGGGUCGCUCCCCCAAGCACCUAGUGCCCAUCGUUUACGGCGUGGACUAC